rnacentral:rRNA from 1 species
UACGUAGGCAGCGAGCGUUGUUCGGAGUUACUGGGCGUAAAGGGUGUGUAGGCGGUUGUUUAAGUUUGGUGUGAAAUCUCCCGGCUCAACUGGGAGGGUGCGCCGAAUACUGAAUGACUAGAGUGCGGGAGAGGAGAGUGGAAUUCCUGGUGUAGCGGUGAAAUGCGUAAAUAUCAGGAGGAACACCGGUGGUGUAGACGGCUCUCUGGACCGUAACUGACGCUGAGACACGAAAGCGUGGGUAGCAAACAGG